AUGACAGGAUGUUGCUUCAUUCUGAAGUUGAAAGGAAGUCUCUUCCUCAUCCAGAAAGACCAGAUCGUCUUCGAGCAAUUGCUGCCAGCCUGGCAACUGCAGUUAUUUGCUAGGUACAUUAAUCUUUAUGUUUGAUGGAUCAUGGGUCGUGGGUCAUGGGUCAUGGGUCAUGGGUCAUGGGUCAGGUGCGUCCUCCAGGUCAUCAUGCUGGAGUGAGACAAGCAAUGGGAUUCUGUCUGCAUAACAAUGCAGCCAUUGUUGCAUCAGCAGCACAAGCUGCAGGAGCAAAAAAAAGUCUUGAUUGUUGAUUGGGUAAUAAUCUUUGUAAUUAAAAAAAAAA